GCUUCGCUAUUGGGGGUAGAGUGCUUAUCCGGCAGUCUUUGAAAAAGCCCGAUUGAAUUGAAGGCGAAAUACUGCGCCACGUCGGACCACGAUCCUGGUU
rnacentral:lncRNA from 1 species